UACGAAGGGGGCUAGCGUUGCUCGGAAUCACUGGGCGUAAAGCGCACGUAGGCGGCUUUCUAAGUCAGGGGUGAAAUCCUGGAGCUCAACUCCAGAACUGCCUUUGAUACUGGAGAGCUUGAGUCCGGGAGAGGUGAGUGGAACUCCGAGUGUAGAGGUGAAAUUCGUAGAUAUUCGGAAGAACACCAGUGGCGGAAGGCGGCUCACUGGCCCGGUACUGGACGCUG
rnacentral:rRNA from 1 species